CUUCACCCCUGCCAGCGACGCGUGGGCUUUUGGGGUGACGCUGUGGGAGGUGCUGACCCGGUGCAGGGAGCAGCCCUACGGGGCGCUGAGCGAUGAGCAGGUGAUCGCCAACGCGGGCCGCCACUGCCGAGGCCAUGGGGAGCCGCGAAGCGGUUAUUAUGGCGGCAACAGCAACGGCGGCUCCGGGGGAUGUCUGUGGGGGUCCCGGCGGCCUCACCCCAUCCCCACCGCGCUAUUUCACCUUCGACAUCCCCCGAACCCCAGCGGGACCCCACGGCCGCGUCGUCGGCACCGCAGGGUCCUGUAUCCACCCGUGGUGCGACGGCCGCCCCCAACGGAAGAAGUCAGCCUGGCCACGCGGCUCCUCCUGGUGUUGUUGGCAGUGGUCAGCGUUCAGGUUUACAGCGCGCCGGCGGAGACGGUGACAACGCAACCUGGGGAGGUUGAGGUGACAACACAGGCGGGAGAGGUGGCCGUGACACCCAAGAUGGUGGCCGUGACACCCAAAGCGGUGACAACACAACCAGGAGAGGUGGCCGUGACACCUGUGGUGGUUGGGAAGACAACACAACCCAGGGAGGUGGUGGUGACAGCCAGGGCGGUCGCGGUGACGCUGAACGUGUCGUCGUUACCACCUCACUUGUCACCACAACCACCACAACCCGAGGAGACGGUCGUGGGGACGUCGCAACCUGAAGGAGCGGUGACACCGGAGAUGGUCGUGGUGACAGCGCGACUUGGGACGACUGUGACACCGCCGGUGACAACGUGCCCACCCACUGGGGGACAGGUGACACCCGUGGGCACCUCCUGCCCACGGUUGUUGCCGUCGCCGACCCCGCGGGCCUACAACAUCACUGCGCACUGACAACCCAGACGGUCACCCUGUUGUCCGGGUGACACCGUACGACUGUCACCUCCGCCUGGAGGUGACACCCAAUGGAUUUGGGGAUGCUUUGGGGGACCGACGCUGCGGUAACGAAGCUGCGGUGGCACCGAGCACCCGUGGGUGCCUCUACCUCACCCUCAGAGCCCCAGUUCUUUGUGGGUCGCUCCGAUAUUUAUUGGUUGGUUGUAUUUAUUGAAGGGAUUAUUUAAUUGUAGGGUAUUUAAUAUUGAACACUAUUUAUUUCGGGGCCGUUUAGCCCCGAUUUUGGAUUAUUUAUUACAGAAAGUGUUGUUUACAACGCGUGCCGUCGCUGCGUCGUCAUUGGAGCACCGCACCCAUGGGAAGGGGGCUGCGUCCAAACUGAAGGAUUCGGUGGUUUUUUGACCCAAUUUGUAGGGCUUCGUCGUGGAACGCAAAAAGGAAACGCCGCGUUUGGGUCCCGAAGUCCCAUUUUUGGGUGGAGAAAUCCUGUUUUGGGGUCGGCAAAAGGUUUUGGGUAGAAAAAGGUGACUUGGAGGGGGAAAAAAACACCGUUUUUUAGUCAGAAAAGCCACUUUGAGGUGGGAAAAUACUACUUUUAGAUAGAAAACGUGGAUUUUUAGUUAAAUGAGUCGUUCUAGGUAGAAAAACUCAAUUUUUUAGGAAGGAAGGAAAGGAUCAGUUUUUAGGUAGAAAGGACCGUUUUUGGAGUGGACAGAAAACUAAGUGGACUCGAGAGUUUUUAGGUGCAAAAGUCCGUUUUUUACACGGAAAAGGCCAUUUUUGGGUCGGAAAACUCAAGUUUCCACUUUUCAGUUAGAAACAUUACUCUUUUCAGGUAGAAAACGACAAGUUUUUAAGGUAGGAAAAGCUCUUUGUGUCAGAAAACGUAAGAUGGGACCAUUUUUAGCUGGAAAAGGCCAUAAUUGAGUCGGGAAAAAGCUUUUUUAGGUCAUUUUGGGUGGAAAAAGAUUGAUUUUGGGUAGAGAACUGGCAUUUGUAAGCAGCAGAAGAUCGCCACUUUUAGGUAGAAAACUCAAUUUUUAUGUAGAGUCCACUUUCACAUUGAAGAUGACCCUUCUCAAGCCAAAGACUGCUGUAUUUUAGUAGAAAAUGGGGUUUUUUGGGUGGGAAAUGGCAUUUUUAGGUGGAGAACCCUUUGCAGAAGAACGUUGUCAGGUGGAAAACACUUUCCAUCCCACCUUGGGCCCCCAAUUCCGAGGCUGCUCUGAAAUAAACCAUCACAUCAGAACUAGGAACAAAAAUCUAUAUAUAUUUUUUUACCUUAAAAAAAAAAAAACAAAAAACUGAAAAAGGACCCAUUUUUUUCUUCCCAUUUUGGGUACAGAAAUGGGGAACUGGGAAAACCCAGCGUGAGCGGCUGCAGCUCCGCGUGGACUCACGAGUCCUCGUUCGGUGCCAACGUCCUGUGCAGCUGACCCAAAUCUGGGUGUUUUCUCCCCAUUUUGUGCGGCCGCAGUUGGGCCCCACGCCUUGAGAAAUCACAGAGACACAAAACAGUAAAAAAAUAAUAAAAAAA
rnacentral:lncRNA from 1 species